ACGUAGGGCGCAAGCGUUGUCCGGAAUUAUUGGGCGUAAAGAGCUCGUAGGCGGUUCGUCGCGUCUGCCGUGAAAGCCCGAGGCUCAACCUCGGGUCUGCGGUGGGUACGGGCGGACUAGAGUGUGGUAGGGGAGACUGGAAUUCCUGGUGUAGCGGUGGAAUGCGCAGAUAUCAGGAGGAACACCAAUGGCGAAGGCAGGUCUCUGGGCCACAACUGACGCUGAGGAGCGAAAGCGUGGGUAGCGAACAGGAUUAGAUACCCUGGUAGUCCACGCCGUAAACGGUGGGCACUAGAUGUGGGGCUCAUUCCACGAGUUCCGCGUCGCAGCUAACGCAUUAAGUGCCCCGCCUGGGGAGUACGGCCGCAAGGCUA
rnacentral:rRNA from 1 species